GGGCCGUUAGCUCAACUGGUAGAGCAGCAGACUCUUAAUCUGCGGGUUCGGGGUUCGAGUCCCUGACGGCUCACCA
rnacentral:tRNA from 2 species